GCAACGGUAGCGUAGCCUGGUAACGCGCUGGCUUGGAGAGCCAGUGUGCUCUGCACUCGGGGGUUCGAAGUUUCUAUCCAUUUCG
rnacentral:tRNA from 1 species